AGCAGCCGAGUUCGCGCCGCCGCCUGCCGUCCUGGUGAACACAAUCGAGCAAGGCAGUGAAGCAAACAUCAUUAGGUGGCUGGACUCAGACACAUCACGCUCCAGUUUGGGUUCCAAGGUGCUUCUCUCUGGAUUUUCACCUGCCUUGCCAAAAAUGAUUGAUUACGCUGGGCCAACUGGGUGUCCGGCAAUACCCAACAAAUGACUUUGGCCCCUAACAGCAGGUCUUGGCCAGACAGAAAUCAAUAUUUCACCAUUAAAAUCUAUCAAAGAAGAGUUAAGGCACCAUCUGUCCCUGCCGCCUCUCUAUGGUGUGUGAACAUUAAAUCCGACACUUGUACUACAUGGGUAAUCAAUAUAUAGUGGUUCACAGAUCAUUUGUGGUUCCCUUUUAGCAGUGAUGGAUGUCUGGAAUCGUUGUGAUUCAUUUUGUCAGACCAUUAAACAAGAUUCUGUCCAGUU
rnacentral:lncRNA from 1 species